AUCCUACGGGGGGCAGCAGUAGGGAAUUUUCGUCAAUGGGCGCAAGCCUGAACGAGCAAUGCCGCGUGAACGAGGAAGGUCUUCGGAUCGUAAAGUUCUGUUGAAGGGGAAAAAGAGCGGAGAGAGGAAAUGGUCUCCGAUUGAUAUUACCCUUCGAGGAAGUCACGGCUAACUACGUGCCAGCAGCCGCGGUAAUACGUAGGUGGCGAGCGUUGUCCGGAUUUAUUGGGCGUAAAGCGAGUGCAGGCGGGUCAAUAAAGCUUGUG
rnacentral:rRNA from 1 species